AUGGAGGCAGCGGUGGCUCGCGCCGACACAGCAGCAUUCUUCUCGGGCCAGGAGGACGCGGCCGAGGGGAGCAUGUCCAGCCUGCCGGCUCGGGUCGCCGGCUCGAUCGUCCGCGGCGUCAUCACCUUCAUCUUCGCAACAGUGGGCACGAUUCUGGGAGCCAUCACGGGCGGGAUGAUCGGGCUGGCGACGGAGAGCGGCCUCGUCCGCGGCGCGGGCAUCGGCGCCAUCUCCGGCGCCGUGGUGGCCAUGGAGGUUGUCGACAGGUCCAUGGCCAUGUGGCGCUCCGACGAGUGCGGCAUCUGGAGCGUCCUAUACGUGCUUGACGUGAUCUGGAGCCUCCUGACGGGCCGCCUGGUGCGCGAGAAGGUGGACCCCGCAGUGCAGAACGCCGUCGACAGCCAGAUGAACGCCGCGGGCGACGGGUUCAGCGACGGCCCGCCGACGCUCUCCGAGAUGUUUGACAUGGGCUCCGCCUCCUUCAAAGGCAUGGCUGCAGACGCCAUCGCCGAGCUCCCCGCGACGACCAUCACAGAGCAGCAGGCCGCCGUGCAGGACGGCGGCUGCUCCGUGUGCCUCCAGGAGUUCGAGGCCGGCGAGGCGGCGCGGAGCCUGCCGGAGUGCCGCCACACGUUCCACAUGUCGUGCAUAGACGGGUGGCUGUGCCGGCAUGCGUCGUGCCCGCUGUGCCGCCGCGCCGUCUAG
rnacentral:rRNA from 1 species